rnacentral:rRNA from 1 species
GAUAAACGCUGGCGGCGUGCAUGGGACAUGCAAGUCGAACGAAGGAUCGGGCUUGCUCGAUCCUUAGUGGCGGACGGCUGAGUAACGCGUAGGUGACCUACCCCGAAGUGGGGAAUAACUGCCCGAAAGGGUGGCUAAUACCGCAUGUGGUCGCACGUUCAUUCGUGCGAGUAAAGCCGCAAGGCGCUUCGGGAGGGGCCUGCGUCCGAUUAGCUCGUUGGUGGGGUAAUGGCUUACCAAGGCGACGAUCGGUAGGUGGUCUGAGAGGACGAUCACCCAGACUGGGACUGAGACACGGCCCAGACUCCUACGGGAGGCAGCAGUCGGGAAUUUUGCUCAAUGGGGGAAACCCUGAAGCAGCAACGCCGCGUGAGGGAUGAAGGCCUUCGGGUUGUAAACCUCUUUUGUCAGGGACGAUGAUGACGGUACCUGGCGAAUAAGCCACGGCUAACUACGUG